rnacentral:lncRNA from 1 species
GACGUCACUCUCCUCGUACUUCGCUCCCCCACUUUUGGUCAUAAAGUCAAACUGCGGUUCUCGUUGCCUCCCAAAGUUGAAAGUAAAAAAAAAGGCGGGAGAAUAAACUUGCUGCCCGGCGUACGGCUCCGUCCGCCUCCCCUCCAUGUCGCCACGUACAGACUACACUGGUCGGAAGGCAUGCCCUCCGUCUUGCCUUUCUUCUCAAAAGAGGAUUUCGGGGGGCUCUUUCGUGUUGCUCCCCACGGGAACGGUACAAAUUUAUCGGGGGGUAAAUGCCACGUCAUGCUUAUCCACGUAGACGAGUCAGUCACCAGUGAGCACGCUUUUCUUUUGUCGUGUUUCGUUUACAGCGUGGCGAGGAGCAUCCUCUUGGUCGGGCCCGUCGCAUGUGGUGUCGCGAGGGACGCCCAUAGUGACGGUGCUUCGCUCGUCGGCAGCAGCGGCGGAAGUGAUGCCGCCGCCAUCUCCUCCGCCGGGGGUGGCGGCCGCGCAACCGGCUCGCUUUAAUGCGCGCACGCCGGGGGACCGGCGCUUCCCCGCCCGGCGGCGGGGCGCACGAGCGCCGCCCCACCGCCCACGGCCCUAUUUAAGAGCGGCGACCGCUGCUUUGCCGGCGAGCGGCUUCCGCAGUAACUAUUCUUACCCGGCCGGUCACAGGCGUCGCGUGGAGGCUCUCCUCUUUAAUCUCCAGCGUAAGCGACGGCGACCGGGGACCUACCCACCAUGCUAACUUCACUUGGCUGCCGCCGAGGGGCGGCUGAGAGGGACCGGUGGCGGUGCCUUGCCGGCCCGGUGAAGGAGGGAUCUUUCCCGGUGGGGGCUCGCCGGACUUGGUUUUGGCUCAUUCACGACGGAAAGUAAGCGGCGGCUUCCCCAUCCGACUGAAGCUUCCCACCGGCCCAGGCCGUCGUCAUCCUGGUAGCGUCAAAGAGCAGCCUUGCCAUCUGUCGCCACUCGUUAGCAGCCGUAAAGCUGGGUGGAUCAAAGAGUGAGAGACAGAGAUCAUCUCCCGCGCCCAAAUACGUUAUCUAGAGGAAGCUGACGACCGGAUCUUGGUUGUCGAGCUCGAGCUAGCGCUCGUCCGGCUACCUCGCCGCCGCCGGGCGUCGGCUCCCCCCAACUCUGAGCGGUGAGGACGCCGCCGUGGUAUAUCCAGCUGAGCAGGCCAGGCUUACACAGUGGAGCUAGAUGGGUCUCUGGCUCGUCAACCGGAGCCCACCGACUUUGCGAGCCAUAUUUAGAGGAAUCAUUGUUGACGGCGACUACGCAGAACGAGAUGGACGCAAGGCCAACCGACGGAUCUCCCCUUCUUCCGCA